GAUGAACGCUGGCGGCGUGCCUAAUACAUGCAAGUCGAGCGAACAGAUGAGGAGCUUGCUCCUCUGACGUUAGCGGCGGACGGGUGAGUAACACGUGGAUAACCUACCUAUAAGACUGGGAUAACUUCGGGAAACCGGAGCUAAUACCGGAUAAUAUAUUGAACCGCAUGGUUCAAUAGUGAAAGACGGUUUUGCUGUCACUUAUAGAUGGAUCCGCGCCGCAUUAGCUAGUUGGUAAGGUAAAGGCUUACCAAGGCAACGAUGCGUAGCCGACCUGAGAGGGGGAUCGGCCACACUGGAACUGAGACACGGUCCAGACUCCUACGGGAGGCAGCAAUAGGGAAUCUUCCGCAAUGGGCGAAAGCCUGACGGAGCAACGCCGCGUGAGUGAUGAAGGUCUUCGGAUCGUAAAACUCUGUUAUUAGGGAAGAACAAAUGUGUAAGUAACUAUGCACGUCUUGACGGUACCUAAUCAGAAAGCCACGGCUAACUACGUG
rnacentral:rRNA from 1 species